AAGUCGUAACAAGGUUUCCGUAGGUGAACCUGCGGAAGGAUCAUUAAAAGAUUUUUGGUAUAAUUUUUUGGGGUCAAUUGAUCUCAAAAAAUAAUUCACCUUUUGUGCAUUGUUAUUAAGAUAUACUUUGGUUAGAGCUUUGACAUUAAGUCAACUUCUUGCUAACUCUAUCCUUAUUGUAAGGACAGUUGGCUAUGAAGCGUGCCUACCAAGGUUUUUUAUCAAACUCUUUGUAUUUUGUCUGACCUAAAUAAAUAAUAAUUAAAUCAUAACUUUCAACAACGGAUCUCUUGGCUCUC
rnacentral:misc_RNA from 1 species